rnacentral:rRNA from 1 species
GAUGAACGCUGGCGGCGUGCCUAAUACAUGCAAGUCGAGCGAACGGACGAGAAGCUUGCUUUUCUGAUGUUAGCGGCGGACGGGUGAGUAACACGUGGAUAACCUACCUAUAAGACUGGGAUAACUUCGGGAAACCGGAGCUAAUACCGGAUAAUAUUUUGAACCGCAUGGUUCAAAAGUGAAAGACGGUCUUGCUGUCACUAAUAGAUGGAUCCGCGCUGCAUUAGCUAGUUGGUAAGGUAACGGCUUACCAAGGCAACGAUGCAUAGCCGACCUGAGAGGGUGAUCGGCCACACUGGAACUGAGACACGGUCCAGACUCCUACGGGAGGCAGCAGUAGGGAAUCUUCCGCAAUGGGCGAAAGCCUGACGGAGCAACGCCGCGUGAGUGAUGAAGGUCUUCGGAUCGUAAAACUCUGUUAUUAGGGAAGAACAUAUGUGUAAGUAACUGUGCACAUCUUGACGGUACGUAAUCAGAAAGCCACGGCUAACUACGUG